UGAUCAAGAAUCAAUUGGUGUGGAGGAUGAGAAGAAAACAAAAGUAAAUGAAACAAAUCCUCUUCAUUGUAAGGAUAAACUCAGAGAAGAGCUUUCAUGUGCAAUUUGUUUGGAUAUCUGGUUUGAACCAAGCACUACUCCUUGUGGACAUAGUUUCUGUAAGAAAUGUUUGAGAUUGGC